rnacentral:misc_RNA from 1 species
AAACUCUAACACAAUCAGCAUAAUUCCCCGACUGGAAAAACAAAGCUGCCUCCUUUGCAAGUCCUGAGUUGACAGACAUCGCGCCGUCAUCUUCCACCGCGGUCGGCGUCAUCGAAGACGGAACAUCCUUGUUAUUCGCUACUGCAUUUGACGCUGAUGAAUCCAUUUCCGAUCACACAGAUCCACAAAAUCAACCCAAGAAAGCAAAAAAUCGAACUGAACCGAUUCAAAACUGAAAUUUGAUUCCUCUUUUGGUUC